rnacentral:rRNA from 1 species
GUCCACGCUGUAAACGAUGGGUGCUGGGUGUCGCGGGUAUUGACCCCCGCGGUGCCGUAGCCAACGCGUUAAGCACCCCGCCUGGGAAGUACGGCCGCAAGGCUAAAACUCAAAGGAAUUGACGGGGGCCCCGCACAAGCAGUGGAGCAUGUGGUUUAAUUCGACGCAACGCGCAGAACCUUACCCGGGCUAGAAAAGCAUGGAACUUCCCAGAAAUGGGUUGGUGCUCGCAAGAGAACCAUGAUCCAGGUGCUGCAUGGCUGUCGU